rnacentral:misc_RNA from 1 species
UCCGGUUUGUCACCGGCAGUUCCUUCAGAGUGCCCGGCCCAACCCGAUGGCAACUGAAGGCAAGGGUUGCGCUCGUUGCGGGACUUAACCCAACAUCUCACGACACGAGCUGACGACAGCCAUGCAGCACCUGUGAUGGCCCAGCCGAACUGAAGAUCCCCAUCUCUGAAGAUCGUAACCACCAUGUCAAAAGCUGGUAAGGUUCUUCGCGUUGC